rnacentral:rRNA from 1 species
UUUAAGUGAAGUUUGAUCAUGGCUCCAGGUGAACGCUGGCGGCAGGCCUAUGGCACAUGCAAGUCGAACGGUAACAGAAGGAAGCAGCUUGCUGCUUUGCUGACGCCGAGUGGCGGACGGGUGAGUAAUGUCUGGGAGGCUUGCCCUGCCUGAUGGAGGGAUAACUACCUGGAAGCGGUGGUAACCACCGCAUAACGUCCCUUAAGACCAAGAGGGGGACCUUCGGGCCUCUUGCCAUCCAGAUGUGCCCAGAUGGGGUUAAGCGUUGGUGGUAACUGGCUCACCAAGGCGACGAUCUAGCUGGUCUGAGGAGGGAUGACAAGCCACACUGGAACUGAGACACGGUCGAACUCCUACGGGGAGGCAGCAGUGGGGAAAUAUUGCACAAUGGGCGCAAGCCUGAUGCGCCAUGCCGCGUGUAUGAAGAAGGCCUUCGGGUUGCAGCAAAAGUACUUUAGCGGGGAGGAAGGUAUUUGUGGUUAAUAACGCGGCGAGUGACGUUACCCGCAGAAGAAGCACCGGCUAACUCCGUGCCAGCAGCCGCGGUAAUACGGAGGUGCAAAGCGUUAAUCAGAUUACUGGGCGUAAAGCGCACGCGAGCGGUCUGUCAAGUCGGAUGUGUAAUCCCGGGCUCCAACCUGGGGCUGCAUUCGAAACUGGCGAGGCUUGAGGUGUAGAGGGGGUAGAAUUCGGUGUAGCGGUGAAAUGCGUGAAUCACGGAGGAGUACCGGUGUGGCGAAGGCGGCCGGACAUCGCGGCGCUCAGGUGCGAAAGCGUGGGGAGCAAACAGGAUUGGAAUGCCGCGGUAAAUUACGCCGUAAACGGUAAUACUUGGAAGGUUGUGCCCGCUGAAGCGUGGCUUCAGGCUGGCACGCGUUAAAGUAGACCGCACAGGGAGUACGGCCGCAGGUUAAACUCCGCAGAAAAUAAUUGACGGGGGCCCGCACAAGCGGUGGAGCAUGUGGUUUGGUGGUACGCGCGAAGAACCUUACACAGUGCUUGACAUCCACGGAAGAAGAAUUCAGAGAUAGUUGUGCCUUCGGGAACCUGAGACAGGUGCUGCAUGGCUGUCGUCAGCUCGUGUUUGUGAGAAAUGUUGGGUUAGAGGGCGUCGCAACGGAAACUUGUACCCUCCUUUGUUGCCAGCGGUCCGGCCGGGAACUCAAAGGGAGCUGCCAGUGAUAAACUGGAGGAAGGUGGGGAUGACGUCAAGUCAUCAUGGCCUACGACGAGGGGGCUACACACAAUGCUACAAUGGCGCAUACAAGAGAAGCGACACUCGCGCGAGAGCAAGCGGACCUCAUAAAGUGCAUCGUAGUCGGAUUGAGUCUGCAACUCGACUCCAUGAAGUCGGAAUCGCUGGUAAUCACGUGGAUCAGAAUGCCACGGUGAAUACGUUCCCCAGACGCGUACACACCGCCCGUCACACCAUGGGAGUGGGUUGCAAAAGAAGUAGGUAAAGCAACCUUCGGGAGGGCGCUUACCACUUUGUGAUUCAUGACUGGGGGUGAGAGAUCGUAACAAGGUAACCGUAGGGGAACCUGCGGUUGGAUCCGCCUCCUU